rnacentral:lncRNA from 1 species
CAGUUCUCAAAGACUCGGCCACAUAAAGAGCAAAAAGGUCCAAGGCCAGGCUUCUCUCGGCUCUAAGCCCCUCUCCCUUCAAGCCUCUCCGAAGCCAUAUAAAAGAUCACCUGGCCUGGGUCCUGUUUUCCCCAGGUCUUGAACAAAUUAGAUGCUUGGGAGUUAUUUGUGGAAGGAAGAAAACAAAAAUGAGUGAAUUACCACAUUUUCCAUGUUUUAUUCAUUCAUUCAGCAAAGAAACCAAUAUAUACACUUUGCAAGAAAGCCGUUUCGAGGAUCAGGGGUUGAAUUAGAUCCAAACUUUGAUCUCCAGGAAUUCAUAGUACCAUCUGAGAUUAGACACGUACCCACAGUUCUGGAAAACACUGUCAUUGUUUGUCUAUCAAGUUCCUCAGGAUGCCUGGCUUCAGGGAGGCAGGCAUAGUUUGUCUGGGGUCCGGGUCACCAGAAGGGAGACAUGUGGGAGGGCAAAACCUGGGGGCAAAGGGAGAAGCCAGCUGCUCCUCACAAAGCAGGGACCCUGUGCCCCGCUGUCUUCCUGGAACCAGGAAACAGAAAGCAGCUGUGAAGGUGGCAGGGCAGCAAGAGAGCAAGACGAGAACAACGGUACAGAUCCACUCAAAGGGUUUCCUUGGAGAUGUCUGAGUCUUGCUGUUUGUUGCCUGGGAUGCUGGCAAUGACCACUUCGUGGCUCAGGAAGCAGCAUAGGAGGGAGGCAAGUGUAGCCCCAACUCCAGUCCCCUCGCCGGCUUCCCACGGCUGACCACAGCGCGGCCCCUGUCUUAUCCUAAUUAGCUGCACCUAUGCCUCCGUCCAGGCUCACCGGCAAGCUCUUGAGCACAGAGGAGCUCUGUACCUGCAGCUCCCAACACAGUCCCUGCACAUGGCAAUGCUACCCAGUUCCCAGCCCCUGGGACCUGCCUACUCAUGCCUCCACUAGCUGUGAGAAAGGGGAACUUGGUGGAGGUGGAGAAAUCCAGAAAAAAAGAGAACAGCACAGAGCCUUGAAGGAUGUGGCCAUGGAGACAGGAAGGAGCAUAGUGUGGGGGGAUGAACACUUGCUCAAAACCUCACCUCCAGAAUUUAACCCUCUCUUCUGGGAUAGUCUCAGGCCAGACCCAGGAAGCAGCACAGUCUGUGGGCAGUCUUUGGAGAGUCUUGCAAAGCUUGGCCUGUGAGCUGAGAUCUCCAACUCCCAGAGCCAUUCCUUCUGGUUUUGUUCUGCAGAGAGCAGGAGGCUGGCACACACACACAUGAAGAUGGGUGUGCACACGUGGGGCUUCAUGCAGACAUACCCAGGAAGAUCUUGCGGGUCCCUGGAGAGGGCCCCCUCAUCCCUUUAUGGCCUGUGCCUGGUGACCCAGAGCAGACAAGACAAGGAGAGUGUGCUACAAACAUCCACAGGUGACUCUGUGACCACAAACCCAAGGCUGGACUGCAAAGUGCUUUCACAGGGCCCCAUGAGGGCAGCUCCUCGUCAUUUAUAUUUUGCUGAGGGUCUCCUUGAAUGGCUGCUUGCAUAAAAGUGUUUAGAAGACUGCCGUUGGAAUCUGAAUCUAUCUGAAAUGUAAUUCCAUUUUCUGGAAAUGUACACGAGUGUGUGUGUGGGUAUGCAUGUGCCCAUGAGAGAGAGUAUGCAUGUGUGUGCAUACGAACACAAGUUGCUGUGCUGGAGAGGAAGCUGGGAAAGGAGAGGAGAGCAUGCACUUUUAGUCAUCCACAUACAUACAUAUGUGUGCACACACACACAUCCACCCAGAGCCUGUCUCCCAAAUCGAUGGCUCAAAGUCACUUUCUUAUCGUAGACCAGACCCCACUUAGACCAGCGGCUUCAACCUUGCCUGCACAUUAAGAUCACUUGAGGAGCUUGUAAAAAUCCCAAUGACCAGGCAACACCCUAGACCAAUACAUCAGAAUUUCUGGAGAUGAAAUUGGGCAUCAAUACUUCAUAUCAAUAUUUAAUAUUUAAUAAUCUCCUUGGGUGAUUCCAAUUUCCUGCCAGCGCUGAGUGCUCCUCUGCAUAGAAAGCCCUUUUCCUACUCCCCUGCUCAGAAAGCUUUUACUCACCAUUUAAGACGCAAGUCCCAUGGCUACUUUCCAGGGAAAUCCUUCCUGAGAACCUCCCCAAGAGUUAGUUCUUCCUUUCCUGAAGCUCCCGACAACACCUUAGUCAUCUGCUAUAAUCAUAAUUAUUUGCUUGUCUACCUGUCUGUCCCACCCUCCGUACAGAACCCAGAGCUCCGUGAUGCCAUGCAUGACACAAGAUCCAUCUCUUCAUUCCCACUGCCUAUCUUAGUGUCUGACAGGCAGCUGGUCAUCAAUGAUGCUUCAGAAUGAAAGGGAAACAUGUAAUGAAUUUGAUGCUGGUCAGUCCACAUGUCCUGCUGCCUUAGGAAGUGCCAUCAGGGUUACUCAGAGGCUCCGAGGGACAACAGAGCAGUGCUGUUAUCUGUGCCAGCUUCACAGGGUGGCUGAACCUUCCUAACAGACCCUCCUGGCCCCAUUCCAUGCCCACUCUGUCCAGUCUGCUUCCAGAGCACCUUUGCUCUGAGGAGUGCUCAGGGCCACCUGGGUCCCCUGUUUCUGUGCCAGCCUAGGGAUCCAAGACAGCAUGGACACUGUGGUCCUUGGUAAAGGGCCAGCCUGAGAAACGCUACUGCAAGGGGGGCUCCCUGCAGCCAGCCCCAGCCCAGCCCAGGAGUCUGAGCAGCAGAGACGAGAAAGUGACACUGGUGAAACCAAGGGACAAACUGUGUCCUGUAUGGCUGCAGCCUCCGGUCCCCUCCUAUCCCCCUUUCCUUGGCCAGCCCUGUCCCUUCUGCCUUGACAGUGCUCUCCUAUUUUUUAUCUUAUCACCCCUUCCCCCAGUCCCAAUGGGCCUUUAUUGUCCCUACCUUAGGCCCGCUGAGGUGAAGCAAUGUGACAAGGCCACACAAGAGACUUUGGGCUGGGACUGGUGAUGGGGCUGGAAAAGGUUUGAGAGCACAGGAUUUGAAGUGAGCCCAUCCUGAUUCGAUGACUGGCUCUGUCACCGACUGACCCUGUCUACUUGAGGCCUCAGUUACCCCAUCUGUGAAACGGGGUUAAUAAUAGGGGCCCCUAUCUCAUAAAUCCAUGGUACAGAUUGAGUGCAGUGCGGACAGAGAGGGCUCCUCAUGUGUUCCUGACCAGGCCUCCUGGUCACUAGUCCAGGCUGAGACUACUGUGGGAACCGCCCUCCACCCCCUUCCACACACAGACACACACACUCUCACUCGGACAGCGCCUGAUCCUGAAGGGCUCUCAACCUGUAGGUAGAAACCAACCCCCUCCCUCACACUCCCCAGCUGAUGACCGGCCAAAGUCCUGGUCACCCACAGAGUCCACUCAACACAAGUAUUUUCUUGACAUUUUGGGGCUUUUACUUCAAUUUGAAGCAGAUGGUUGAGCACAGACGUGAACAGCUUUGGCCAUUUGAGCACAAGGAAGGGGCGGGCCU